CCAUCACUGCCUCUGCCUGUGGGGUUUGUGGGUUUGGUUUGGGGUAUUUGAAUCUGGGCUUUUUGUGUCGAAGGUGAUUGGAGGAGAAAUGUGGGAGUUGGGAGAUGAUAAUGUGAGAGAGAUAUAAGAUGGGUUUUUUCCUUUCAAGGGAAUGACCUUUUCCUUUCUGUGACUUUGAAUUGUUCUUAGUUCAAAAAAUAUAAAAACCCUGAUCUUUUUUUAUUUGGAGAAGCUAGUGGGGUGCCAUUUGGAGGAGAAGGGAGUGUUGGAAGUGGCUGAAUCGAUUGGAAAAUGUCACUAUGCCAGUUUCCGCUCUCCAUUUUCUUAAGACAUGUAAAAAAAAGUUCAUUCUAGGGUGAAUUUCAGUGGGAUUGCAGUUCGGAAGUUUUACCGGUUUUUGGGGAAAUGCCGAAAGAAUAGUGAUAUUUUCAGGUGAACCUGGAGAGUCUGCCUAACUGGGAGGAGAAGCAGAUGUUCAAAGAGUAAGCGUAGCUGUUGAUUGCAUUCAGGGUGCUCUUCAUUAAAAAGCAUUCCUGAAAUAUUUGUUAAGAUAUGUGAAUUUCUAUCAAUAGGCUAUAGCAUGUUAAUUUGUCACGACAUGUAACUGAAUCUAUGUUGGAUUCCACAUCGUGUUAAUUUGUCAUGACAUGUAACUGAAUCUAUGUUAGCCUAAUCGUUUUAAGAUAUAACAAUUAUGAUUGUUGUUACU